CACCGCGGUUAUACGAGAGGCCCAAGUUGAUAGCCACCGGCGUAAAGCGUGGUUUAAGUAAGACAGUCUAAUAAAGCCGAAGACCCUCAGAGCAGUUAUACGCAUUAGAGAGGCAGGAAGCCCAACAACGAAAGUGGCUUUAAACUUCUUGACCCCACGAGAGCUAUGAUACAAACUGGGAUCAGAUACCCCACUAUGCUUAGCCCUAAACAUUGGCAGCACACCACAUAUGCUGCCCGCCUGGGAAGUAAGAGCACCAGCUUGAAACCCAAAGGACUUGGCGGUGCUUUAGAUCCCCCUAGAGGAGCCUGUUCUAGAACCGAUAAUCCCCGUUCAACCUCACCUUUUCUUGUUCCCCCCGCCUAUAUACCGCCGUCGCAAGCUUACCCCCUGAGGGCUCAAUAGUAAUCAUAAUUGGCACUGCCCAGAACGUCAGGUCGAGGUGUAGCGUAUGGAAAGGGAAGAAAUGGGCUACAUUCCCUAACCAGGGAAUACGAAUGAUGCCCUGAAAAAAUGCAUCUGAAGGAGGAUUUAGUAGUAAGCAGGAAAUAGAGCGUCCUGCUGAAACCGGCCCUGAAGCGCGCACAUACCGCCCGUCACUCUCCCCAAGCACUCGAACUUUUUAGCUAAAACAUCAGACCAGCAAAGGGGAGGCAAGUCGUAACAUGGUAAGUG
rnacentral:rRNA from 1 species